rnacentral:rRNA from 1 species
AUUGAACGCUGGCGGCAGGCCCAACACAUGCAAGUCGAACGGUAGCACAGAGAGCUUGCUCUCGGGUGACGAGUGGCGGACGGGUGAGUAAUGUCUGGGAAACUGCCCGAUGGAGGGGGAUAACUACUGGAAACGGUAGCUAAUACCGCAUAACGUCGCAAGACCAAAGUGGGGGACCUUCGGGCCUCACACCAUCGGAUGUGCCCAGAUGGGAUUAGCUAGUAGGUGGGGUAAUGGCUCACCUAGGCGACGAUCCCUAGCUGGUCUGAGAGGAUGACCAGCCACACUGGAACUGAGACACGGUCCAGACUCCUACGGGAGGCAGCAGUGGGGAAUAUUGCACAAUGGGCGCAAGCCUGAUGCAGCCAUGCCGCGUGUAUGAAGAAGGCCUUCGGGUUGUAAAGUACUUUCAGCGGGGAGGAAGGCGGUGGAGUUAAUAACUUCACCGAUUGACGUUACCCGCAGAAGAAGCACCGGCUAACUCCGUGCCAGCAGCCGCAGUAA